GUGAGGAAUUUUCCGCAAUGGGCGAAAGCCUGACCGAGCAAUGCCGCGUGAAGGAUGAAGGCCUAUGGGUUGUAAACUUCUUUUCUCAGAAAAGAAUUAUGACGGUAUCUGAGGAAUAAGCAUCGGCUAACUCUGUGCCAGCAGCCGCGGUAAGACAGAGGAUGCAAGCGUUAUCCGGAAUGAUUGGGCGUAAAGCGUCUGUAGGUUGUUUAAAAAGUAUUCUGUCAAAGAUUAGGGCUUAACCCUAGAUAGGCAGAAUAAACUUUUAAGCUAGAGUUUGGUAGAGGCAGAGGGAAUUCCCGGUGGAGCGGUGAAAUGCGUAGAUAUCGGGAGGAACACCAAAGGCGAAGGCACUCUGCUGGGCCAAUACUAACACUGAGAGACGAAAGCGAGGGGAGCAAAUGGGAUUAGAUACCCUUGUAGUCC
rnacentral:rRNA from 1 species